rnacentral:rRNA from 1 species
CCUACGGGGCGCAGCAGUGAGGAAUAUUGGUCAAUGGACGGAAGUCUGAACCAGCCAUGCCGCGUGCAGGAAGACGGCUCUAUGAGUUGUAAACUGCUUUUGUCGGGGAACAAAGGCGCCCACGGGUGGGCGGAUGAGUGUACCCGAAGAAAAAGCAUCGGCUAACUCCGUGCCAGCAGCCGCGGUAAUACGGAGGAUGCGAGCGUUAUCCGGAUUUAUUGGGUUUAAAGGGUGCGUAGGCGGACAGUCAAGUCAGCGGUAAAAAUGCGGUGCUCAACGCCGUACAGCCGUUGAAACUGGCAGUCUUGAGUGGGCGAGAAGUAUGCGGAAUGCGUGGUGUAGCGGUGAAAUGCAUAGAUAUCACGCAGAACUCCGAUUGCGAAGGCAGCAUACCGGCGCCCGACUGACGCUGAGGCACGAAAGCGUGGGUAUCGAACAGGAUUAGAUACCCGAGUAGUC